CGAACGCUGGCGGCGUGCCUAACACAUGCAAGUCGUACGAGAAACACAUCCUUCGGGGUGUGGAGUAAAGUGGCGAACGGGUGAGUAUCACGUGGGUAACCUACCCUUGAGUUUGGGAUAACUGGCCGAAAGGCCCGCUAAUACCGAAUAAGACCACGGGAACUUCGGUUCCUGAGGUAAAAGUCGGCCUCUCGACGAAGCUGACGCUCAUGGAUGGGCCCGCGGACCAUUAGCUUGUUGGUAGGGUAACGGCCUACCAAGGCUGAGAUGGUUAGCUGGUCUGAGAGGAUGAUCAGCCACACUGGAACUGAUACACGGUCCAGACUCCUACGGGAGGCAGCAGUGAGGAAUAUUGCGCAAUGGGGAAAACCCUGACGCAGCAACGCCGCGUGAGUGAAGAAGGCCUUCGGGUUGUAAAGCCCUGUCAGGUGGGAAGAAACCUAUGCAGUCGAAUAGGCUGUAGAGCUGACGGUACCACCAAAGGAAGCACCGGCUAACUCC
rnacentral:rRNA from 1 species